GGGAUCGUGGCCCAACGGGGAGGGCGCCGGUGUCGCAAGCCGGAGACUGCGGGUUCGAGUCCCGCCGGUUCCA
rnacentral:tRNA from 1 species